UACGGAAGGCAGCAGUAGGGAAUCUUUCGCAAUGGACGAAAGUCUGACGGAGCAACGCCGCGUGAACGAUGAAGGCUUUCGGGUCGUAAAGUUCUGUUGUUAGGGAAGAACAAGUACCGGAGUAACUGCCGGUACCUUGACGGUACCUAACCAGAAAGCCACGGCUAACUACGUGCCAGCAGCCGCGGUAAUACGUAGGUGGCAAGCGUUGUCCGGAAUUAUUGGGCGUAAAGCGCGCGCAGGCGGUCCUUUAAGUCUGAUGUGAAAGCCCACGGCUCAACCGUGGAGGGUCAUUGGAAACUGGGGGACUUGAGUGCAGAAGAGGAGAGUGGAAUUCCACGUGUAGCGGUGAAAUGCGUAGAGAUGUGGAGGAACACCAGUGGCGAAGGCGACUCUCUGGUCUGUAACUGACGCUGAGGCGCGAAAGCGUGGGGAGCGAACAGGGAUUAGAUACC
rnacentral:rRNA from 1 species